GUGUGAUGGCCGUAAAGCACUGAUUGGACUAGGGGGCCCUACCAGGUUACCGACUUCAGUCAAACUCUGAAGACCAUCACAGUUAGCUCGGCAGUCAGCGUAUGGGGGAUAAACUUCAUAUGCGAGAGGGGAACAACCCAGACCAUCAGUUAAGGUCCCUAAGUACUAGCUAAGUGGUAAACGAUGUCCGAAUGCAUAGACAACCAAGAGGUUGGCUUAGAAGCAGCCACCCUUGAAAGAGUGCGUAACAGCUCACUGGUCAAGUGUUCGGGCGCGGAUAAUGUAGCGGGGCUAAAGCUAGUCACCGAAACUAUGGGUGUGUACGCCUGCGGGCAGUACACGCGGUAGGAGAGCGUUCUCAGUGUGUAAGCGUUGGCGUAAGCCUUCGUGCGGUGCUGAGAAGUGAGAAUGCCGGCAUGAGUAACGAAGAAGAGUGAGAAUCUCUUCCACUGAUUGUCCGAGGUUUCCUGAGUAAAGUUCGUCUGCUCAGGGUUAGUCGGGACCUAAGGCGAGGCCGGAAA
rnacentral:rRNA from 1 species